AACGAACGCCGGCGGCAGGCUUAACACAUGCAAGUCGAACGGGUGUAGCAAUACAUCAGUGGCAGACGGGUGAGUAACACGUGGGAACCUUCCUAGGGGUACGGAACAACUCAGGGAAACUUGAGCUAAUACCGUAUACGUCCGUGAGGAGAAAGAUUUAUCGCCCUUAGACGGGCCCGCGUCGGAUUAGCUAGUUGGUGGGGUAACGGCCUACCAAGGCGACGAUCCGUAGCUGAUCUUAGAGGAUGAUCAGCCACACUGGGACUGAGACACGGCCCAGACUCCUACGGGAGGCAGCAGUGGGGAAUCUUGGACAAUGGGCGCAAGCCUGAUCCAGCCAUGCCGCGUGAGUGAAGAAGGUCUUCGGAUUGUAAAGUUCUUUUGCCAGGGACGAUAAUGACGGUACCUGGAGAAUAAGCCCCGGCAAACUUCGUGCCAGCCGCCGCUGUAA
rnacentral:rRNA from 1 species